AGUUUGAAAAGCUUCAUCAAGUAUGUCAAAGUUGAAGUGUCUGCAAAUUGAAGAAGUUUUCGAAGCCUUUUGAGAGUGUUAAAUUGAUUUGAAUCCAUUUGAGAGUAUUUGAAAGUGUUCUGAUAAAUUUUGGACCUUAAAUACAUAAAAAAUUAGAUUGGCAUAAAAUGAGACGAUCCAUCUAGGUCAUCUCCUUUCAUUGGGUAGCCGGUACGUAUUGUUUUGACUUAUGACACACAGUGGGACGACCCAUAUGGGAUGAUCCAUGC
rnacentral:lncRNA from 1 species